rnacentral:misc_RNA from 1 species
UGGUUCUGGCAUNGAUGAAGAACGCAGCGAAAUGCGAUAAGUAAUGUGAAUUGCAGAAUUCAGUGAAUCAUCGAAUCUUUGAACGCACAUUGCGCCCUUUGGUAUUCCGAAGGGCAUGCCUGUUCGAGCGUCAUUAUAACCCCUCAAGCCUACGCUUGGUGUUGGGACCCGCGCCUAGCGGUCCCUAAAACCAGUGGCGGUGCUUCAGAGCUCUACGCGUAGUAAUUCUUCUCGCGACGGACCCUCUGCGGCCACUUGCCAGCAACCCCAAUUUUCUCAGGUUGACCUCGGAUCAGGUAGGGAUACCCGCUGA